rnacentral:misc_RNA from 1 species
CAACAUGCGGGACGGUAGUUGUCGACAGACGAUCUCUCAAACAGGGGAGGACGGCGGUCAGAACGACCCGGUUAAUUAAGGCCGGGGUAGACCGAGAACAGGAGGUUCGUAAGACCCACUCUACCACAGAGUGCUCGACACUUCAUCACCAGUAGCUGUUGGGUCGCAAACUGUAGAAGCUGAGGCUGGUAGGUAUGUAAGCGUUGGUUCUUAAUUGUUAGGCUCGAGGCAGCCGUCUCAUGGACGAUUAUUCAAGGAUUUUUCAAGGGGAGUUAUUCUUCAAAGUUUCACGGACGAUUAUUCAAGGAAGUGUAGAUGUGUGUGUAAGCGUGGACGUCUCUGGACAUCAUCCCAACCCAAGCGCACUAAGCAGCAACAAAGCGAACGAUAACCGCCAUCUACCGCGACCUCGCAGCACGAGCAUUGCCUCAACUUCAACUCUUCUCUGUUAAGGCUUCAGAGGUGGCAGCAUCUAAACAAAUCAGCAUGAUGAUAUUGGAAACAGCUUUAUUUGUUUGUUUGAUAACUCUGAUUGUUUGGUGGCUUUUGAGAUCAGACCCUGCUCCUGUGGCUGGUGUCUACCCAUUGCCAGGAAAAUGGUAUUGGCUAAAACGAGCAAUCUUUUCUUGCUUUUUCUAUCUACGAGCAAGACAGACAAAAAAGCAAAAGCAGACAGACAAGAAGUAUAACAGUUCUCCUAGAGGUUAUGGAAACAGUAUGUUGCUAACUGAGAUGGAGAAGUGCCUGCCUCGUCAUAUGGACCCAGAUGCUUUGGACUCUGUUUACAUUGGAGCCUACAGUCAGGAUGGACCUAACCUGGCCAUGCGUGUUGGACGGAGGCCAGAUCGAAGGGCGGAAAUUUGGCUACAUCUGGAAAUACCUGGGGUUGGGCAUCUACAACAUCCAGUUCAUCCAGACACAGCAAUAAGCAACACAGACCCUAACUCUUUCACAGCUGGAGGACUGAGGUUUGAGGUGAUAGAACCACUGAAAACUUGGAGAGUCAGCUUUAGCGGACAACUCAGAGUAGGGCUGUGCAACAGUCUUGAGAACAAGCCUGAGAAAUUUUUGGACACACAGUUCUCCUUUCUGUGGAAUGCAUUUGCACCACCCUUCAAUUACGAUUCAGAUCUGGAUUCUUCAUUACUUGGAGAUGCCAUUGCACGAGAACGAUGGUGCAGAGAGUUCUUCAACAAACUGCAAAAGAGGCGACAUCAGACUCAUUAUGAACAAUGGGGAGAGCUACGAGGGACUCUUACUGUUGAAGGUCAUCCACCUCAAAAUCUGCGCUUAACAGCCAUCCGAGAUCACUCAUUUGGUGUGCGAAAAUGGACAGACUUCUACAGAUAUGUGUAUUGCUUCUUACAUAUUGAGAACGGCAUGACACUGCAAAUAGGGGCAAUUUCUCAACCAGGAAUGUUUUCACAUUUAAGAACAGGCUGCUUGAUGUACCCAAGCAGAGACAGGGUAGCUGUGUCAGAUGUGAUCUUUAAUCUGUGGAACGUAGGGGAGGAGGAACAACAGCCACCUGCCAAGUGGAGUUUGUCCUUUGUUGCAGAUGGAGAAACAUACCUGCUGCAAGUCGAGACUAAAACAUCUGGUAUUCUUUACCAUGAGGCAGACCGAGGAGGCAUUGUCUUUGAAACAUUCUGCAAUGUUACUCUUAAUGGCAAGAAAGGCUGUGGGCUGUCUGAGUUCUUUUACAGGAACGAGAACAGAAGUGAAGUAAAGAUGGACACCACAUUACCUUUCAUCACUGACCCAGACCCAGGGAUUGUGGCCGCCAGUGAAAAAGAGCUUAUCCUCACUUUUUCCGCCAUGUCCUGCCAGUCAGCAAAUCUUGUAGGUGGAAAGGGGUCACAGCUGGCACAGCUAACAAAGCUGACAACACUGUUACAGGAUUCAUCAGUGUUAGUGCCCCAAGGAUUUUGUGUAACUCUUGCUGCUUUUGAAGAGCAAAUGAAACACAAUAAUAGUCUGAAGCAACUUGUAGACACUGUGAAUGAGACAGCUGUGUCAGAUCUCAGCAAGUUGGAUGCUGUGUGCAUGGAGACAACUGCACUGUUCUCUGAACUUCCCAUGUGUGAGCCUGUGAUGAUGGCAGUACAGACAGGCUUAAGACAGGUCUUUGGUGCAGACUUCCACAUUAAAAGGCUUGCAGUUCGCUCUUCAGCUGCUGGUGAAGACAGCAUUGAAGCGUCAUCAGCAGGACAGAUGGACACUUUUCUGGGCAUACAAGGAGAAGAAGAGAUUUUUAGCGCAGCGAAAAAAUGCUGGGCUUCUGCAUACUCAUACCAGGCUGUGGAAUAUAGAAGACAGCAUGGACAGCCAGUAAGGACACCAGUAGGUGUCGUCAUUCAGGAAAUGGCACCAGCAGAAGCUGCAGGGGUCAUGUUUACAUCGGAUCCAGUGACAGGGAACUCAAGUUACAUCAUCAUUGAUGCAAAUUAUGGCCUAGGCGAGUCAGUCGUGUCAGGAAAAUGUGAACCUGAUACCAUUACAGUGCAGAGAAACUGGGAUGGGAUGUUGAGCAUUAAGACAGUAAAAACAGGGAAAAAGUCAACAAAAAUAACCGUGACAGAUGAAGGUAUCAAAGAAGAGGAGGUAACUGGAAAUGAGAAAAAUAAAUUGUGCCUUCAAGACAGUGUCAUCAUCUGGUUGGCCAGAGUUGGGAUACAGAUAGAGAAAUACUUUGGGUCAGCUCGAGACAUUGAAUGGGCAUAUGGAGGUGGAAAAAUCUUCCUUCUUCAGUCACGACCAAUUACAACUUCAAAUCAAGAAACAGAAGAAGAACUGAUUCAUGAGUUUGACAGCCCUCUGAAUAUUAAACAUCACUGGGUCACUACUGCCAAUGUCGGUGAAAUGAUGCCAGGGGCAGCCACUCCUCUCACUCUGUCAACGUUUUUAAGAGCUAUAAACAUGGGUGUACAGAUGUUAAAUCAUAAACAGGGUUCCCGACUGCUGGUAAUUGAUCAUCCCAAUGGGGUCUUAUCCUAUGGAAACAAUCUCUUUUUGUCUAUUCUGGAAUGUGCUCUUAAUUGUGUGGCAGUUACUGGUUCAAAAAUGGAAGCAUUGCAGGUAAGCAUUUUGGGUGAAGUCGGGAUGAUCUGCCUAUCACAACUGUGAAAGAGUACUUCGGCAAAACUCCACCUGGUUCCAUAAGGCGCUGGCUAAAUGGCGUUAAAAUGAUGAAGUUCCUGAACAAAGCUGGCCAUGCAAUGAAAAAUUGGGAGGAGAGACUCCAUACUUACAAGCUGUAUAGAGACGGUAUGACUGCAUCUACUUUAUAUCAGGAAAUCGAUGACCACCUGCAGGACUACGAUGACAUGUGGCAUUGGUCAAUAGCCAACAGCGCAAGGUCAGGCUCCUGGUCAGUCGUUCUUCUAUCUUUGCUUUCACAGGGCAGCAAUGGGUAAGAAAU